rnacentral:rRNA from 1 species
GACGAACGCUGGCGGCGUGCUUAACACAUGCAAGUCGAACGGAAAGGCCCCUUUGGGGGUACUCGAGUGGCGAACGGGAGAGUAACACGUGAGUAACCUGCCCUUGACUUCGGGAUAACUUCAGGAAACUGGGGCUAAUACCGGAUAGGAAUCCUUGCUGCAUGGUGGGGGUUGGAAAGCUUCGGCGGUUUUGGAUGGACUCGCGGCUUAUCAGCUUGUUGGUGGGGUAGUGGCUUACCAAGGCUUUGACGGGUAGCCGGCCUGAGAGGGCGACCGGCCACAUUGGGACUGAGAUACGGCCCAGACUCCUACGGGAGGCAGCAGUGGGGAAUAUUGCACAAUGGGCGGAAGCCUGAUGCAGCAACGCCGCGGGCGGGAGGACGGCCUUCGGGUUGUAAACCGCUUUCAGCAGGGGCGAAGCUUGUGGUGACGGUACCUGCAGAAGAAGCACCGGCUAACUACGUG